GGAGAGGAAACUUUCUGACCUAAGAAUGGCACUUGAUGAGAAGCGGGAUGAUGCCAUAUCCACUUCAAUGAAAGAAUUGACUCAAAGAAAAGGUUGUGUUGAGGAAAACUUACGACUGUCAGAUGAUUUAAGAGAUGCAGAGGAGGAUGUAUACAUAUUCACUUCAUCAUUGCUAAGCUUACUUGCUGAAUUUGACAUUCGACCCCCUGUCAUGAAUGCUUCAACAGUUACCACUGCUACAAAACGUUUAUAUCAACAUGUUCACCGGAAGAUAAGACCGUCUGGCGGUAAUUCUGAUGAUAACCAUAUGUUUGGAAAUCGGCUUGUUGGGCCAUCUUCCAACAAUAAUCAUAUGUCUUCAAGGAGUCAGCUUUCAC
rnacentral:misc_RNA from 1 species